rnacentral:rRNA from 1 species
UACGAAGGGGGCUAGCGUUGUUCGGAAUUACUGGGCGUAAAGGGCGCGUAGGCGGUACUUCAAGUCAGGCGUGAAAGCCCCGGGCUCAACCUGGGAACCGCGCCUUGAGACUGGAGAACUAGAGUUCGGGAGAGGAUGGUGGAAUUCCCAGUGUAGAGGUGAAAUUCGUAGAUAUUGGGAAGAACACCGAUGGCGAAGGCAGCCAUCUGGACCGACACUGACGCUGAGGCGCGAAAGCGUGGGGAGCAACAGG